rnacentral:tRNA from 1 species
UCCAGGGUAGUCGAGUGGACAAGGCACCUGCCCGGUAAGCAGAAGGGUGUGGGUUCGAUUCCCGCCCCUGGAC